UGGUCAGUCCACGACAGGACAAAACAACAGGAGCUGGUCAGUCCACAACAGGUGAAAACAACAGGAGCUGGUCAGUCCACGACAGGUGAAAACAACAGGAGCUGGUCAGUCCACAACAGGAGAAAACAACAGGAGCUGGUCAGUCCACGACAGGACAAAACAACAGGAGCUGGUCAGUCCACGACAGGACAAAACAACAGGAGCUGGUCAGUCCACAACAGGUGAAAACAACAGGAGCUGGUCAGUCCACAACAGGUGAAAACAACAGGAGCUGGUCAGUCCACAACAGGAGAAAACAACAGGAGCUGGUCAGUCCAUAACAGGUGAAAACAACAGGAGCUGGUCAGUCCACAACAGGUGAAAACAACAGGAGCUGGUCAGUCCACAACAGGUGAAAACAACAGGAGCUGGUCAGUCCAUAACAGGUGAAAACAACAGGAGCUGGUCAGUCCACAACAGGUGAAAACAACAGGAGCUGGUCAGUCCACGACAGGUGAAAACAACAGGAGCUGGUCAGUCCAUAACAGGACAAAACAACAGGAGCUGGUCAGUCCACAACAGGACAAAACAACAGGAGCUGGUCAGUCCACAACAGGAGAAAACAACAGGAGCUGGUCAGUCCACAACAGGACAAAACAACAGGAGCUGGUCAGUCCACAACAGGACAAAACAACAGGAGCUGGUCAGUCCACAACAGGAGAAAACAACAGGAGCUGGUCAGUCCACGACAGGAGAAAACAACAGGAGCUGGUCAGUCCACAACAGGAGAAAACAACAGGAGCUGGUCAGUCCACAACAGGAGAAAACAACAGGAGCUGGUCAGUCCACAACAGGAGAAAACAACAGGAGCUGGUCAGUCCACAACAGGACAAAACAACAGGAGCUGGUCAGUCCACAACAGGAGAAAACAACAGGAGCUGGUCAGUCCACAACAGGAGAAAACAACAGGAGCUGGUCAGUCCACAACAGGAGAAAACAACAGGAGCUGGUCAGUCCAGAGCGUUCUAUAUCUGUCACUGAGUGUCUGUUGUGUGGCGCAUAUGAGGUGAGGAAGUUACACUUGUGUGUAAUUCACUGCUAAAUGUUUGCUAUCAGAUAUCUUACAACGGCUUUCUGCCGUGUUUGAGGAGUAAGUCAGAGCUCUGUAUGGGUUGUCUGUACAGCUGCCAUUUUGUCCCUGUACUUCCGACUAGCGUUUUCUCUCCCCUCUGCUCCGUGUUCACAUGCUGCUCUUCCCUCUGGAAAAACAUGCAUCACUACUUUUUUAUUUUCACUUGCUCUCAUUGACUUUCACUUAUAAAUGUCCACACUCACCGAAAAUGAGCCAUGCUUGUAUAGCUUCAUGAGCUGGAUUUGCCUGUCUACAAUUAGUUUAUGUUCGUUUUCGCUUGUUAGCAUUUAGCUAACAUCUUCUAUAUGGUUUCGCUCUUACUUGGGCAAUUUCUUUUUAGUAUUCUGGGAAAGCAAUGUUUUUUGGUUUUUAGCGGCCACUUGUGUGCUAUUCCGGUUAUACCAGAAAUCCCUGCAUGAACAUCUACGCUGGUGGGAGGAGCUAUAGAAGGACAGGCUCAUUGUCAUGGCUGGAAUGGAAUAAAAAUGGAACGGUAUCAAAUGUAUGGAGCCCGUCCUUCUAUAACUCCCCCCACCAGCCUCCACUGGCCCAAGCCUAUGUAAUGGUGUGGAGUCCUUGCUCUCACAUAUCCAACUGUGUUAGAUCAGUGACAUCCAGGAAAGAAGGAUGGAUUUAUAGCAGUAUUGGAACUGGGCCACUGUACUCUAUGCAAGAAGGAUCCUAUCUUGUUUGAUAGGUGCUAGACAAGAGCUGAUGUUGACCCUAACUCAAGUUGAAGCUGUCCCUGGAACAGUCUGACGGAGGCUAAUCUAAGGAAACUCAGUGAGUCAGGUCUGUGCCUCAUUACAUUGCUUUCACAGAAGACUGUCAGUGUCCAUUUUAAGCUAGGUGUUUCAAUUUGCCUCUCAGUAGGAGAGCGGCUGCAACAGUUAUCUCUGUCUCUGUCCCUUUUUAUUGGUUAACUCUUUGUUUUGCUCUCCCUUUCCACCAUCUCAGAUCUCCCUCUCUUCCUAUCACUCCCCUCUCUCUCCUCUCUCCCCCCUCUACUCUCUCUCUCUCAGCACUCAGCUCUCACCUCUCUCCUCCUCUCCCUCAGCUCUCUCUCUCUCAGCUCUCUCUGCCCAUCACCCUUUCACUCUCUCUCUCUCCAGUCUGUUGUAAGUCCACCUGUCUCUGUCAAUCCUGUGAGACUCCCUGAUGUGUUCAUUCCAGACAUGCUGUCACUCAUUACCCUGCUCAUCUGUCAGAUUAACAUCUCCCUCACUUUCACACUCUCCCUCCAUCCCCUCCUCCUCUAGCCCUCCCUCAGCUCUUUCUCUUUCUCUUUCUCUUUCUCUUUCUCUGUUUCUCUGUCUCUGUCUCUGUCUCUGUCUCUGUCUCUGUCUCUGUCUCUGUCUCUGUCUCUGUCUCUGUCUCUGUCUCUGUCUCUCUCUCUGUCUCUCUCUCUGUCUCUCUCUCUGUCUCUCUCUCUGUCUCUCUCUCUGUCUCUCUCUCUUUCUCUCUCUUUCUCUCUCUCUCU